rnacentral:rRNA from 1 species
CUAGCUGUAAACGAUGGAUACUAGGCGUUGAGAGUAUCGACCCUCUCAGUGUCGUAGCUAACGCGUUAAGUAUCCCGCCUGGGGAGUACGCGCGCAAGCGUGAAACUCAAAGGAAUUGACGGGGGCCCGCACAAGCGGUGGAGUAUGUGGUUUAAUUCGAUGCAACGCGAAGAACCUUACCAGGGCUUGACAUGUCCGGAACCCUGCCCAAAGGCGGGGGUGCCUACGGGAACCGGAACACAGGUAGUGC